ACUCAAAUGAAUUGACGGGGGCCCGCACAAGCGGCGGAGCGUGCGGUUUAAUUCGACGCAACGCGCAGAACCUUACCCGGGCUUGACAUGCGCCUGCAAGCUCUCGAAAGAGAGUCGCUUUUGAAGGUGGCGCACAGGUGCUGCAUGGCUGUCGUCAGCUCGUGUCGUGAGAUGUUGGGUUAAGUCCCGCAACGAGCGCAACCCCCGCGGCCAGUUGCCGAUGUUUCUGGCCGGACUGCCGGUAGCAAGCCGGAGGAAGGUGGGGAUGAUGUCAAGUCAGCAUGGCCCUUACGUCCGGGGCGACACGCACGCUACAAUGGGCCAGACAGUGGGUGGCCAAGGCGCAAGCCGGAGCUAAUCCCCCAAACUGGCUCUCAGUUCGGAUUGCGGGCUGCAACUCGCCCGCAUGAAGGUGGAGUCGCUAGUAACCGCAGGUCAGCACUACUGCGGUGAAUACGUUCCCGGGCCUUGCACACACCGCCCGU
rnacentral:rRNA from 1 species